rnacentral:sRNA from 1 species
AAAAGGACAUGUCAAUAGAAGAGAAGAGACCUAAAUUUGUAUAUAAACAACUUACAGCACUACAAGCAAAUAGUUCCGUAUCGUGUAACAUUAUGAACGCAUGGCAUUUAAUGCAGUACAGUCUUUGAAAAGAAAAAUGAAUAUGGAUCAGACAUGUUUAGAUAACAAUACUUGUGGUUUUACUGGUCUUUGUUCAUUCAUCAACGGAGAAGCUGUAUGCACCAUCAACAUCUGGACGCCUAUUGCCUUUGUAUUCAUCGUAACCUUUAUGGUGCUGGUAUUUGUUACCAUUUUAUUAUACGUUGACUUCAGAAAAAGGAAAUCUAGAGGACUGUCUGAAAAUGAAUAUUGCAGUCUGGAGUCAAACUGAUGGUACAUCUCUAUCGACGAGAAUGUCGAGGAGUCCUGCUACGAUGCUCUCACCUGUGCUACUGCUAACGAAUAUGACACAAUUAACCAUACAGACUUAAACUAGAGAGAAAAAAGUUUGUCUACAAAUAUUUACACCCAUAUCAUAUUUACAGCGUGUUCAUGUAUUUGCAAAUACGAAGAUUUCCAUUUGCGAGGAUCCACGAUGCUCGUGAAUUUACACAAACCGGACACUCAAUAACUACAAAAAAUGGAAUGCAUGCAUUUAAUGCAAGUUUAUAUGUGACGUGCAAACAAUUUUCUAUUCAUUAGUUAGAUGAGAUAUGCGCUUCUAAUCGGAAUAUUCUUUGAUACCUGCAUCAAUAAAAUUGUGAGUCCGUUUGUACUCAGCAUACUGAGCUACUUCACUCUGUGUUCAAUCUAAGUGUUUGAUGGAGUUUUCCGUUCAAUCUUUCUUUUGAUACGUCAAUAAAAAAAUAGUAAAUUCAUAUCUUAA